UAUUUUGACUAUACGAAGGUAUUGAAAUAAGAUUUUAAAUGAGUGCUAAGAGAAUGGUUUAACAAUUAAUAACUUUCUUUAUUUUAAAAAUUAAAUUUAAUUUUUUUUGUGAGGAAGCAAAAAUAAAAAUUAGGGACAAGAAGACCCUAUGAAUUUUAAAUUAGUAUUUAUAUUAAUUGUUAAUUUAAUAUUAAUUUUGUUGGGGCGACAGAAAAAGAAUAAUUAUCUUUUAAUAAUAAGUUAAUUUAGAUCCAUUAUUUAGUGAUUUAAUGAGAAAAAUACUCUAGGGAUAACAGCGUAAUAAUUUUGGAUAGUUCUUAUAGAUAAAAUAGUUUGCGACCUCGAUGUUGGAUUAGGAUUCUUUUUUAGUGAAGAAGUUAAAAAAAGAAGUUUGUUCAACUUUUAAAUUCC
rnacentral:rRNA from 1 species